UGGUAUGUACUGGCUUUACUGAUUCCUCCUUCUUGAAGAACUGUAAUGUCAUUAAUUUGGUGUUGCAGGGAAACAGGACUGUUACUUUGAAAAAAUUAGAGUGUUUAAAGCAGGCUAACGCUUGAAUACAUUAGCAUGGAAUAAUGAAAUAGGACGUUCGAUCCUAUUUUGUUGGUUUCUAGGAUUGACGUAAUGAUUAAUAGGGAUAGUUGGGGGCAUUAGUAUUCAGUUGUCAGAGGUGAAAUUCUUGGAUUUAUUGAAGACUAACUACUGCGAAAGCAUUUGCCAAGGAUGUUUUCAUUAAUCAAGAACGAAAGUUAGGGGAUCGAAGACGAUCAGAUACCGUCGUAGUCUUAACCAUAAACUAUGCCGACUAGGGAUCGGAUGAUGUUAAUUUUUUAAUGACUCAUUCGGCGCCUUACG
rnacentral:rRNA from 1 species